rnacentral:rRNA from 1 species
GUGGAUUAGAUACCCUAGUAGUCCACACUGUAAACGAUGAUUACUAGGUGUGGGGGGUCUAACCCCCUCCGUGCCGGAGUUAACACAAUAAGUAAUCCACCUGGGGAGUACGGCCGCAAGGCUGAAACUCAAAGGAAUUGACGGGGGCCCGCACAAGCAGUGGAGUAUGUGGAUUAAUUCGAAGCAACGCGAAGAACCUUACCAGGUCUUGACAUCCAACUAACGAAGUAGAGAUACAUUAGGUGCCCUUCGGGGAAAGUUGAGACAGGUGGUGCAUGGUUGUCGCCAACU